rnacentral:rRNA from 1 species
GACGAACGCUGGCGGCGUGCUUAACACAUGCAAGUCGAACGGAAAGGCCCUGCUUUUGUGGGGUGCUCGAGUGGCGAACGGGUGAGUAACACGUGAGUAACCUGCCCUUGACUUUGGGAUAACUUCAGGAAACUGGGGCUAAUACCGGAUAGGAGCUCCUGCUGCAUGGUGGGGGUUGGAAAGUUUCGGCGGUUGGGGAUGGACUAGCGGCUUAUCAGCUUGUUAGUGGGGUAGUGGCUUACCAAGGCUUUGACGGGUAGCCGGCCUGGGAGGGUGACCGGCGACAAUGGGACUGAGAGACGGACCAGACUCCUACGGGAGGCAGCAGUGGGGAAUAUUGCACAAUGGGCGGAAGCCUGAUGCAGCAACGCCGCGUGCGGGAUGACGGCCUUCGGGUUGUAAACCGCUUUCGCCUGUGACGAAGCGUGAGUGACGGUAAUGGGUAAAGAAGCACCGGCUAACUACGUG